rnacentral:lncRNA from 1 species
AUGAAGCUCCAAGUGCCACUUGGACAGAAACAUCUCUCAGUAAAACAACCAAAGGAGAUUGCUUACUUCGGGCUUCACUCCAAAGGCAUGAAAGCCCCAAACCAGUUUGCAAAAGGCUGUUUCCACUGGUGUCCACCGCCUUCGAAGCUCUCAUUUGCUCGGAAAGUCAUUAGACUACAGCUAUCAGCUAAUGAGGCAGAGCACCCACCACAUGCUUCAGAUCUCUGCAGGUGGAUGAGAUAAGAAGAAAGGCUGGAAGGAUCAGUGCACAACAUAAUCGACUGUGUGCAAGUGAAGCUGCUGCCCUUGGAAAGGCCUGAAGCAAGGUUGACCCUUGGCUGACAUCCAGGAACUCAGACUUGGGGAGGGUCCCCACAGUUUCCAAGACUGGUAAGAAGGGCUCACUGAGCUUAAACCAUCUGUGCGAUAGAUUAUUCUCAACACAUUUUUUACUGGGAAUCUGAACGUUUAACCUGUCAGGCAGAGGAUGUCUACACGACCAGCCCUCAAUUACAAACCUUGGACAUAGAGUCUCUGAGAAGUUUCCCUGGCAGGCAAUGUUUUGCAUGUGUUGUCACAACUUGUUGCGGGGGGGCGUUAAAAUCAUACCGUAUGAUUCCACUGGGACAGGCUUGCACCUCGUGUCCUCCCGACUUUGCACCACAUGCCUUUUUCCCUUUGCUCAUCUUGCUUUGUAACCUUUUGCUGCAAUAAAUCUUAGCCAUGAAUGCCA